UAGCGCGGUGGUCCCACCUGACCCCAUGCCGAACUCAGAAGUGAAACGCCGUAGCGCCGAUGGUAGUGUGGGGUCUCCCCAUGUGAGAGUAGGGCAUUGCCAGGC
rnacentral:rRNA from 1 species